UUCCUCCUAAUAUCUAAGCUAAACCUCCCCUGUCUCAGAACCUGUAGUAUCUUUGGCUGGUGGAGGUGCAGCUGAAAGGGCCACCUCCUUGUAUGCUCUCUAUCUGCUUCUGGCCACAGCAAAUGUCAGACCACAACACUUGGCUUUCUAGUACUUCUUCCAAACCCUUCAGCAUGCCUUUUCCUCUCUCUUUAGGACAGCAGCUGGUAUUUCAUUCCUUAUGGCCAAAUGUCACCAGAGCAAAUCCCAACAGUUUGCUUUUUUGUUUCAUCGACUUAUGGUUGUGUAGCAAGAGUACAGGUGAAGAGCUGAGUGCUGGCAGAACUUGUGGAACAGAAAGGGAACAUGGGAUCAUGUCUAACUGAUUGCUUCUUUCUGACAAGAAAAUGCAAUGAUUGCCUCCAUGUGUCCUCUUGCUGCAUGCUGAAUGUCUGCACACAUCCUCAGAUGAAGAGCAGUGAUCCCAUUGUAAUGCUCUCCUCUUCUGCUGAAAGACUGUUCGGCCUUCUAUCUCAAGUAAUUUAACCAUAAUCUCAAAGAAGCAGGAAGAGGAAAGGCAGUAUCAGCUCUAGCCAUAAGAAGAAGCCAGCUGCUUUGUAUUAUUCAGGUGGAAGAUGGAACAAAGCCAUUUUGGUCUGGAAUACAGUGGGGGCUCCAGGAGCAGAAAACAAAACUGUUGAAAUGUACUGAAAUGCACAAGCCUAAGAUUAAAGCAAGACUUUAUCAUCCUUCACGUUGCAGCUAUGUCAGCUUCUCCUCACUGAAUUCAGCCAGUCCAUACCAGUUGAAGUUCUGACCCUUCAGACAGAGCCUACAUUUAUUUCUCAGGUGCUCUUUGCAAUUUUGAUUAGUCCUCGUGUAACGUGUCCUAGAGCAGGACUCACUCAGGUCUUCAGGUAAAGUUAUCUCUUCUUAGCGUGUUUUGAUAUUACUUUCAGAAUCACAAAGAAAUGAAAGAGUUAAUAUUCUUUCAGUGGAAAUACUUGUCUUUUCUAGAGUUAAACAUGCUGAGAAGACAAACAAAAUAUGAUGAUAUCCACAACAUGCUCACUGUUCAGCGUGACAGCCCAUGGGUCAGCACAGGGAGAGAUUGUGAUACUGAGUAGACUCCCAGCAUGCCAUGAAGGUUGUCCUCAGGGCAUGUGUUUCUCCUGAACAUUAUGGAAAGAAGCUUGGCUAGAAUAAACAAACUAAUUUCCCUAGACACUGACCCCAAAAAGGGACCUCUGGGGUUCUGACUCCAUGUGAUGUGAGCAGUUCAGUCAAAGAAAGUCACAUAAUUCCCCAGAACUCCAUGGAUCCUCAUCAGAAAGGAUAAUACCUAAAGAUGAUAUUCCCGUGUGCAGCUUGCCCAGAGACAGGAUUUGACUCCUUGAAGAAUGUUGAGGAACAGUGGUUUGCAUGGAUUCUCUUAGAAGUUGCCUACAUACGUGUUGCCUCAUCCAUGCAUCCUCUCCUGAGAAAGCAGAGCUAUGCUGGGUCUGCAAAACCAAUGGCACAGGUAUGCCAUGCAUGUAAACAUAUGCACAGAUUCUCUGUGUGGCCAAAGAGCAUCCAGGUAGCAAAGUAGCCCCUUUAUGUUCUUCAAGUAGUAUGAAGGGGCUGCAACAGCUGCAGAAGACAGGCUCUUUGCCUUAAUUUGAAGGCAUCAUCCUUAAGCCAGGAGAGUCCCUCCACUCUAGCAGAACAAUGUAUCUGCUUUUAUGCCCCAUCAUUAAUAACAGUAAAAAUCUGGUGAUGGUGGGAUAGUGCAGAGUGGGAAUGAUACGUAAUGGAGAAAAUGAACAGCUCUGAGAGUCUUUCACAGUUUUUGAGUUCUGAAACUUUCCCUUUCCCAGUUGUGUAGUGAAGAACAUCUGUUGCAGAAAAGUAACACUGGAGAAUUCCUCCUCAUUCUAAUAAACUUGGUCCUAAGCAUU
ensembl:lncRNA